UACGUAGGUGACAAGCGUUGUCCGGAUUUACUGGGCGUAAAGAGCGCGUAGGCGGCCCAGUAAGUCCGCUCUGAAAGUCAGGGGCUCAACCCUCGAAUGCCGGUGGAUACUGUCGGGCUAGAGUGCGGAAGAGGCGAGUGGAAUUCCUGGUGUAGCGGUGAAAUGCGCAGAUAUCGUUUGGAAACGCCAAUGGUGAAAACAGCUAGCUGGGGAUGUGCCGACGGCUGAGACACGAAAGCCAGGGGAGCAAACGGG
rnacentral:rRNA from 1 species